GACGAACGCUGGCGGCGUGCUUAACACAUGCAAGUCGAACGAGAAUCUACUGAAAGAGUUUUCGGACAAUGGAAGUAGAGGAAAGUGGCGGACGGGUGAGUAACGCGUGAGGAACCUGCCUUGAAGAGGGGGACAACAGUUGGAAACGACUGCUAAUACCGCAUGAAGCAUAGGGGUCGCAUGAUUCUUAUGCCAAAGAUUUAUCGCUUCAAGAUGGCCUCGCGUCUGAUUAGCUGGUUGGCGGGGUAACGGCCCACCAAGGCGACGAUCAGUAGCCGGACUGAGAGGUUGAACGGCCACAUUGGGACUGAGAUACGGCCCAGACUCCUACGGGAGGCAGCAGUGGGGAAUAUUGGGCAAUGGGCGCAAGCCUGACCCAGCAACGCCGCGUGAAGGAAGAAGGCUUUCGGGUGGUAAACUUCUUUUAAGAGGGAAGAGCAGAAGACGGUACCUCUAGAAUAAGCCACGGCUAACUACGUG
rnacentral:rRNA from 1 species